rnacentral:rRNA from 1 species
ACGAACGCUGGCGGCGUGCUUAACACCUGCAAGUCGCACGGAAAGGCCCUGCUUUUGUGGGGUGCUCGAGUGGCGAACGGGUGAGUAACACGUGAGUAACCUGCCCUUGACUUUGGGAUAACUUCAGGAAACUGGGGCUAAUACCGGAUAGGAGCUCCUGCUGCAUGGUGGGGGUUGGAAAGUUUCGGCGGUUGGGGAUGGACUCGCGGCUUAUCAGCUUGUUGGUGGGGUAGUGGCUUACCAAGGCUUUGACGGGUAGCCGGCCUGAGAGGGUGACCGGCCACAUUGGGACUGAGAUACGGACCAGACUCCUACGGGAGGCAGCAGUGGGGAAUAUUGCACAAUGGGCGGAAGCCUGAUGCAGCAACGCCGCGUGCGGGAUGACGGCCUUCGGGUUGUAAACCGCUUUCGCCUGUGACGAAGCGUGAGUGACGGUAAUGGGUAAAGAAGCACCGGCUAACUACGUG